rnacentral:rRNA from 1 species
AUUGAACGUUGGCGGCAGGCUUCAUACAUGCAAGUCGAACGAGAAAGUACCUUCGGGUGCGAGUAAAGUGGCGGACGGGUGAGUAACGCGUAGGAAUAUACCUAGUAGUGGGGGACAACUCGGGGAAACUCGAGCUAAUACCGCAUAAUAUCUAUGGAUCAAAGUGGGGGAUCUUCGGACCUCACGCUAUUAGAGUAGCCUGCGUUGGAUUAGCUAGUUGGUGGGGUAAAGGCCUACCAAGGCGACGAUCCAUAGCUGUUCUGAGAGGAAGAUCAGCCACACUGGAACUGAGACACGGUCCAGACUCCUACGGGAGGCAGCAGUAGGGAAUCUUGGGCAAUGGGCGCAAGCCUGACCCAGCCAUGCCGCGUGUGUGAAGAAGGCCUUAGGGUUGUAAAGCACUUUCAGUAGCGAAGAAAUACUUUAGGUUAAUAACCUCGAGUUUUGACGUUAACUACAGAAGAAGUACCGGCUAACUCCG